UACGGGAGGCAGCAGUGGGGAAUAUUGCACAAUGGGCGCAAGCCUGAUGCAGCCAUGCCGCGUGUAUGAAGAAGGCCUUCGGGUUGUAAAGUACUUUCAGUCGUGAGGAAGGUGUUAAGGUUAAUAACCUUAGCAAUUGACGUUAGCGACAGAAGAAGCACCGGCUAACUCCGUGCCAGCAGCCGCGGUAAUACGGAGGGUGCGAGCGUUAAUCGGAAUUACUGGGCGUAAAGGGCACGCAGGCGGUUAAUUAAGUUGGAUGUGAAAUCCCCGGGCUUAACCUGGGAAUGGCAUUCAAGACUGGUUAGCUAGAGUCUUGUAGAGGGGGUUAGAAUUCCAUGUGUAGCGGUGAAAUGCGUAGAGAUGUGGAGGAAUACCGGUGGCGAAGGCGGCCCCUGGACAAAGACUGACGCUCAUGUGCGAAAGCGUGGGGAGCAAACAGGGAUUAGAUACC
rnacentral:rRNA from 1 species